UUUUUUGGAGAAAACUGAAACGAUUCAGCAUGAGAAGAUAGAGACGGUGAGGAGGAAGGAUGCCUCUAGUUUUUUUUU
rnacentral:sRNA from 1 species